UGCUGCCACCUCAGUCCCAGAAUAACCGUAUGGGAACUAUGUUCAGCUAGUUUUCGGGACAUCGGUACACUGUGCAUGCGCAGAAUGAAUCCCCAACCCCCGAGGCAGGCUGCUGCUACUGAGGACUGGCUACAAGAUACCCCCCUCCCCCGCCAAAAAAAAAAAAAAAAAAAAAAAAAAACAACCCUACUUCCUUCCUUCCUUCCUUCUUUCCUUCCUUCCUGGGGUUGGACUUUUUUGGAGGGUUCCCCAGUGUAGGUAUCUCAACAGGAAAGGGUCUUAAAAGUUAGCAUGUUAGCGGGAAACCGUGGCGCACGCCUGUAAUCCCAACAUUCAGGGAGGCAGAGGCAGGAGGAUCUCUGUGAGUUCAAGGCCAGCCUGGUCUACAAAGUGGGUCCAGGACAGCCAAGGCAACACAGAGAAACCCUGUCUUGAAACAAACAAACAAAAAGUUAGUAGGUUUCGUGUGUAGUAGGUUUUGAUCUUCCAGGCAGCAACUUGAAUGGGCCUGAAGUUCUAGAAUGGAAUUCUAUGUAGCCUGGCUAAUCCCACAGCUCACAGAUAAGAGUCUCUGGCUGUAGUUCUGGAGACUGCCUUUACGAAGGUCAAAAGUGUACCCAGUCUCUAGCCAAUCUUGUGGCUGGAACACCUUCAGGGGCACCUUCAAAUACUAUAUUCUGUCCUGCCUGUGCCUUCCAAGAGUCCUUUCUCCAUUUUCUGGCUGGCUCCCUGAAAGUUGGGGCUAUGAAGAAGUGAGGAAAGAUUUGGAGCAAAAACAAAACAAAAAGUCAUUUGAGUUUGAGGAGGAAGUCUGUGAGGAUUCUUUUUGUUUAAAGGGGGGAACAAAACGCCCUUGCAUGUGCAGAGAUGGAUACCUGCUCGCUUAUCAGCUCUUUACUGUCUCCAGUGAUAGGGACACCUCAAGCCUAAAGUGGAGAUGCACAUUAAAGGUCACGAAGGGCCACCUGUUCUGCCUAUGUACUGUGUGGUACAUCAGGAUUUUAGUGGGUGCCAUUGUGUUCCCAGAACUGCUCCUAGUGCUAUAGACAGCCUAGGAGCCACGGCUACUCCCUUUGGGGCCCUUAGGUUCUGGUCACAUCAAUACCAAGGAGGACAUUUCCAGUAUGCUUUGCUUGACCUAUCAUGAUGGGGAAUUAUUAUUUUCUUUUGGAGCAGUUUCCUUCCAAUGAAAACAUCCCAUCCUGCAGGAAAGGUAUUAAAGACUCAGGAAGUAAACAACUAACAAGUCUCAGACGUUCCUGAAACUUACAAGGCCCCUUCCUCCCGAUAGAUGUAUGAACAGGAAGAGAGCCCAUGCUCUGAGCUACUGAGGUGCCAAUCUCCAGGGUGCCAGCUUUCAACCAAUGCUGGAACUUUUGGUGAUCAACAACUGUUUUCAAGUUGUCUCUGAUGCUGCUUCCAACACAGACCAAAGACCAGCAUCUCUUCAGGAAUCCACCAGGACUCCAGCACUAGGAGGGACUGCUUAGACAUCCAGUCUUGUCGAUUUAACAACUACCAGAUUCUUGGCAUUUUCACUGGGAAACUGCUGUUGCUGGAAUACCAGACCACAGCCUAUCUAGGAAAAAUGAUCACAGGAUGGGAUUGGUGACCUAUGAGAUCACAGUGAGAUGGAGCAAACCUGACAGUUUGUGGAUCUUCUUAACCUCUCCUCCAUGGAUGGAACCUUAGCUCAUGGACAUGAGCCAUCCAAGUUCUUUGCUGCAAGAUAAAGAUGCUGGCCUCUGUUUCCAGUGCAAUCCUCAUUUCCAACACAGAUCUCUUUAAUGUGGCCUUGACUGAAAAAGUUUCUUCCAUCUGCACCCUGAUUAGAAUCAGGGCCCCUGCUGAACCGUUGUUGGAUCAGAGGAAGACAAGAUGAAGCAAAGCUCUGUGAAGACUUCUAACUGGCCCAGGUAAAGGUUCUUGACUAGGAGGUUCCUGAUUAGGCAAGUGGAAGGUCCUAACUGUGUAGGUGGAAGGACUCACUGGUCCAUAGCCUCUGGCCUUUGCUUCUUUCUGGAUACUUCUGCCAGUGUCAGGCAGCUUCCUGGACUUAUCCUCUCCAGCUCUUGUCCCUGCCUGAGAUCUGGGAGCUGGGGUCAUCUGGCAGCACACAGAUCUUACCGCAGCCAUGAGGCCGUGGGCUUCCCUCACAGUGGCUAUGGUGCUCAGAGCAGCGCCCAGGCUCAAUAGCCCUGCUAGGCCGAUCCCCAUGUAGAAAACUGUGAGAAGAGAGAGGCAGAGGGUAAGGAAUCUAGCAAGGGAUCUGGGCAUGGAGGUUGGAUCUGAAAUCUACUCUGGGGGGUCACUGAGCUAGAAAUGAACUUCUGCAGAGUUCCCAAAAGGCACAUAUCUCUGGCCCCCCAAAACGGGGGCAUCCUAUGGUCCUUUUCUUUCUUCCCAAGUCUGGGAAGGUGGGGAGGAGAGCGGGGGCAAACUAGGGGGCCAUACUCUUUUCCCCCAUCUCUCCUGCCCUCCCUGCCUCACAGACUAUCUUUAAGCCACAUCCCCAUACUCUAGUGACAGGUGGCAGUGUGGGGCUGGCUGUGACCUUAUCAGUCUAGGCCCAGGCUUCAGGCUUCCUGCCUGGGAGAGGCCUAGUGCCUUGGAAGGCAGGGGGCCUAGGGACUGGGGCUGCCAACCCCCCAUUCUGGAGCCUCAUUUUCUCCCACUUUUCCUGGGUUGGUUACCUUCCUAGGUUCCUUGCAUUCCUACCAGGAACACCUCUUCAUCAAAGUGGCCUUGCUCUUGGGGAAGUGGGAUACCCUGGAGGGCAUGGCCCUAGCUGGGCAUUUUCUGCUCUCUGAAUAUGGUUUUCACUGUUGAGUCCCACAGGUCCAUCUGAGUCCAACCUUAGGGGAUCCCUACCCCGAAAGCACAGAUCUGGGGCCUGCUGCAGCUUGGACUCUCCUCUGUGGAGGAGAGUCAGGGUAGGAGUGUCUGCUGUCACCUAAACCUCCCCGCCUUUGUUAAUACAACCAGGACACUGGGUGUCCCUUCCCUACCCAGACCUCUGGCCUCUGCCCAAAGCCAGCUCCUCUGGACAGCCUAGGGCUGGGAGGUAAGGUCGGUUCCUCCAAGAUACUUUUGGCUCUAGAGCUUUCCCACCUCCACUCCACAGCCAUUUCUGGCUUCACUUACCCCAAUAGUGCAUUGCUUCAUAGGGGUUCUUCUCCAAGGGUACACGUCCAAUGACUGUAAAGUGGUCUCCGAAGUGAGUGACAACUGCCAUGGUGGCCGUAGAGAGGCCCAGCAGCUGAGAGUGAGGUGGGCUCAUCAUCAGAGCUUGGGAGUUGCAGAAGCCCUCCCACACCAACAGAGUGUAGGGCCUGGGAUUCUGGGGACCGGAGCCUGGCUCCCUCUAGCUUCCCAGGCGCACUGGAGCAAGGCAGCUGCAGGAGGCCUACUUGUUUCAGGGGGUGGGGGACAGGUCCUCUCAUCCACAGGACACCCCAUCACAUACACAGAUAAGUAAGCAACACACAUGCUUAUGCCCAUUUUCUCCUAGGACCAAGAAGCUCACACCAAAUUUGUCUGCAGAGGUGCUGCAGUCCCCAUUCUCUCCCUGGAUCCCAGGCAGCACCCCUUCCUGGCAGUCACUGCACCCUCUAAGUCACCCACCAACCUAGGUCCUCCCAGGCUCCUCACUGACCCUUGGGGUGACAGCUGCAUCUACAAAGACAUCAUGUACAGAUGUCCACAGUCCUCUGAGGGUGGCUACCAGGGACCCAGAACAGUCUGCAGGACUGCGGUGGUGGGGCAGAUGGGAAGGAGACUGCAAUGCUGGAGGCCUGGGCACGGUGAAUUACUCCCUCUGCUGCUCACCUACCCACCCGCUCCUUCUGCCCCACUUGCAUGUUACCAAGACCAAGAAGUUGGUGAUGAGUAUCUGGCAUUUGGCAAUCUUGAUUCGAUUCCAGUGCCCCAUGGAACUUGGCUCCUCUCCUCUCUUCUCUCUUCGCUUUCUUCUUCCUUUCCCCUCCCCUCCCCUCCCCUCUCCUCCCUUCUUGUCUACUCCCCUUUCUUCUGUGGUUCCCCACUGGGUGGGGACCUCAGACCACAGCUGACACAGUAGGUAGGCUGUGUCCUCCCAUCUGUCAACAGCCCUUGUAACCUAAUGGCUGGGUUGGGGGAAGGAAGAAGGGCAGGCAGGAAGGGGCCCAGCUUCUAUACCUACUGCUACCCUGGCCUGGCCCAAGACAACUGAGCUUUUGAAGGCAUAAGAGGCCUGGAGGUGGGCUGGGCCACACUGGGGAAGAGGGGUGGAGACUUGAGGGGAGCAGGAAGAGGAGGGCCCAAUGCCUGGCAUUUCUUAUAAGGGUGUAAUAACCUGCUACUAACCUGUAACUGCCCAGCUUCAUAAAAACAUCUAGUGUUUGGAUUAGACCAUGUGUCCCAAAGUCCUCCUGGGAUUAAUCCUCAAACAGGACUCCUAUAGGUGUUACCUGUGUCUCCUGACCUGAUGCCACUGGCCAAUUCAUAAUCAGUACAGAGGGGGAAGGUGUGAUAGAGUUAAGUCUCAGGACUGGGCAAACAGCCAUGGCACCUAUGUAGGAGUUUCAAGAUGGGGGCAGUUUAUGGGUAUUUGGCCCUUGGUGGGCUAGCCAUGUGUGAAAGCAAACAAACAAACCAACCAGCCAUGUUUCUUACAACCAGCGCCUGGGAGGCAGGUAAAUUAUACCAAGUUAGGGGAUAACACACAUAGUGAGACCCUGGCUCAAAAUAAAUAGGGUGGGGAGAUGGCUCAGUGGAAGCAUUUGCCCCGCAAGCAUAAGGGCCUGAGGUUGGAUUCCCCAGAACCUAUGUUAAAGAAGUCAGGCGUGACCGUGCAUGCUUGUAAUUCCAGCGCUGUGGAGGCAGAGACAAGAUGGUUCCUGAACUUACUGGCCAGCCAGCCUAGCUCUUCAGCAUCUCCCAGGCCUGUGAGAGACCCUGUCUCGUCAACAAAUUGAGUGGGCCCCUAGGAAAGGACACCUGAGGUUGACAUGCCUCUAUCCCAACCCCGCCCCAGGAACACACAAUGAUAAAGAACCCAGCUGAAAUGCUGUCGGCCACCUUUUGAAAAGGAAACAAGUGUUUGCUUACUUCAAAUAUUGAGGCCCCAUAGGAGGGCCUGUGCCUCGUGCCCAUAGUGCUUUCUGUUAAAACAUGUGUCUGCAAUAAUACAGAAUGACAUAAGCCACGGACCACGUGGUGCUGUGAAUUCAAAUACAUGUGUGCCAUGCGAAGUGGGCUUCGGAGGCCAUGGUGUGCCUGGCCAUAACAUGAGUGUCCGCCAUAAAACAUGGUUAAAUCUGGGCCUGUCACUCUAGCAAAGAGGGAAUGGCUCUUCUUUCACAUCCUUUAAUGUAGGGUUGUCCUGGCCAGGGGGCACCUUAGUAGGAAAAACAGGUAACUGUGGAAGUAACUCCUGGGCAUUCUAGAAGCCAGUGAAAUAGGGCUCUGUGCUGCCUACCAGUUUUGUGUUGGUGCUGGGAAGAUGACCAAGUGGCCACCCAUUCAGCAAGGCUGACGCUGGAGCCUUCUGCAGUCCCCUCUUUUCUCCUGCUUCCCAAGGGACUCUUCCAGAGCUCCGGGUGGCUCCUCUGCAGCACUCAUCUCCCAGAGUCCCUGACCUAAAGCUGUAGGGCAGGUGAGGUGGGACCGCUCAGGGUAGAAUCCAUGGCCCAGCGGGCAAGCAGCCCAAGCAAAGCCCAGGGGGUGACCAGUGUGCCAGGCCACCUGCAGCAGAGUCUUUAGCUUGCUCACCACCUGGUUUUGCUCACUUCUCCACUACCCUUCUCCACCUGCAUGGAAGAAAGAGCCAGGCAGCCUGCUGAGAUGGGCCCAAGAUGGGCCUGGAAUCACCUAGAAUCUCCUCCCCAAUUACUUUGUGCAAGGAGAAGAGAAUGGAGCCAGGUGCUUCGCUCAGGUUACCUCACUUUGUCUUCUCAAAAUGGUAGCAACCCCAGGCCUGUCCCUCCAACACCAGGUCUCACCACCUUCUCUUCCCUGAGCCUGCUAGCAGCACCAGGGAGCCAUGAGCUGCGGGACCACCUAGCAAGGUACCCUCCUGGAUGCCUUUGCCUUUCACCCUUCAGCUCUUGACACCCCUGUAGGAGGAAGUGGUAAGUGAAAGGAAGCUACUGGGUUUCCUAAGGCCUACCUCAGAGCACCCUGGGGUAUGACUCAUCCCAGUAGAGGGCAGUACUGUCCCUCUGAAGUCACGAAGGAACUCUAAAGAAAUGGCCCAGAUAUCUGAUUUGGCCCUCCCAUAGACCCUGUCCUGAGGCCAGGCCCAUUGCCGGCUUUCCAUUUCUCCAUGAUGCUGUGUGUGUGUGUGUGUGUGUGUGUGUGUGUGUGUGUACAUUUUUGUGUGUAUUUGUAUGUGUGCUGUGUAUGUUUGUAUAUAUCUGUGUGUGGUUUUGUACGUUAUAUGUUUGUGCUUCUUUGCAUGUGUGUUUCUGUUUAUGUAUAUAUGUUUGUAUGUUGUGUAUUUGUGUGUGUGUGUGUCUCUGCAUGUAGUAUAUGUCCCUGUGAGUAUUUGUGUGUAUCUGUAUGUCUGUCAUGCGUGUGUAUGUGUGUGUGCACAUGUACUCAGGACAGAGUACUUGCUGCUGGAAUACUACUUCCUACUUCCUUUCCCUCUCUCCUACAUCUAAUAAUGACUUAGUUGACGAAAAAUGGUUUUAUACUAAAGAGAUCAAAUGGCCAAAGCUGAAAUUUUUUUGAAUAAAAUUGUGUCAGAUUUCAAUUCACCAUAUUAAAAAAAAAAAGUUGGCCUGAGAGAUAACUCAGUGACAAAGGUAGCUGCCACCAAGCCUGACAACCUGAACUCAAUCCUGGGAGCCACACAGUAGAAAGAGGGGAGUUGUGCAGUUGUCCCUUGACAGUACCUCCAUACAUGUGCUGUGGCCCAGCCCAACCCCCAUAGUGACUUCAUUCCAAUGAAGGUAAAUGAUAGACAACUGUAUCAGUGAGUGAGAAAGAAGAGGACAAAUGUCCCAUUCAGAAAAACAUGAGAGAAACCAUGCUAAGGCCCCACCCUCCUGGAGAUGGGGCAGCGCUCACAGGCAGAGCCUCUUCCUUCCUGAGAAAAGGGAGAGGCUCUGUAUAGUGGAACUCAGCCAUGACACUCAGAGACAAGCCAAGUGGAUGCUGGGAACCUGUGGUGGUUGGUUAGGAGAAGGAUGUCUUCUUCCGUGACCCCAUCUAACAGAAAAAUGGGACAUUCCUCAGCUCAGGGCCCUGAAGGACCUGAGCAGCCCCCUCAGAACUCCAGAACUCAUGGUCACAUCAAGGACCAAGAAAAAUUGUUCUAUCACAGAAGAGCCUUCGGAGGCAGGAUGCAAGUCAUGUGGAUUCUGGAUGGGCCUUGGGGCCAUAAAAGAACAGGCAGGAACACAGGAGAUGGCUUAGUUCACAGCAAUACAUCAAUACUGGGUGACAGCUGCCCCUCACCAAUGUCACACGUUGCCGUGAAAUGGAUUUUGUUUCCUUGCCCAAAGUUCCCACCAUAUGUGUCCAACCUGUGGCCUGCUUGUGACCAAGGACAACUAGCUAUUCAUGUGGCUGAGCAUAAAAUUGUGAGUGUACUUAAUACAUUAUGAGACUUUUUUUCACAGUUGUGUGUGUGCGCUCAGACACAUGCGAAGGCCAAAGGUCAACAUUAAGUGUCUUCCUUGAUUACUCUCCAUCUCUAUUUAUUUAUUUAUUUUAGAUUUGUUUUUAUUUAUGUGUGUGGAUUUCUCUGAACACCAUAUAUGUGCAGAACCUGAAGAGAUCUGGAACUGGAGUUACAGUCAGCUCUGCACCUUCAUGAGCAUCCUAAGAACCAAGCCUGGGUCCUUGGGAAGAGCAGCCAGUACUCUUAACUGUUGAGCCACCUCUCCAGCCCUCACACCUAACUUUUAAGAUGAGUACUGGGAUCAAACUCAGGUUCUCAUUUUGCAUAAAUUACUUUAAUAACUGAGCCCUCUUUCCAGUCCCGUGGAGGUUUUUGUGUGUUUGGUUUGGGUUUUUUUAUUUUGUUGUUUGUCUUUGCAACUCAAUCAGGAGACUUCCACACACAAAUGUUGUAGGUGACAAUAUUGUGUCACGAUAUCACACCUAAAACCCCCUUAGAACCUCCAGAAUGACAGGAACAUCCUUCAUGAGGUGGCCAGUCCUGGGUAUCCACGUCACCUCAGGCUUGGGCUGUUCUCCAGGAAGUCCAAGAUAGGAUGGAAGGUUUGGGAAUCUCAGUCCUAACCCUUGCCCAGCUUCUAGGGAGAGUAGAGUAGCCGGAGGCUAGUGUUGGCUCAGCCUAACUGCACCUUAAAUCAGGUAAAGGACAGUGCAGGAGGAUCCAGGUAGCUGACCAAGGGAGGUGCCAGAGGGCAGUGGGCCAGAAGAGGGUAUGGAGGCACCACCUCCCAUGCUGCUUGUUCUUGAGGCACUCUGCUCUGGUAGCUGUGGUCACCCUUCAUCAUGGCCUUUAUAAUAGUGUAGGGGGCAGAUGUAAGCCAGCAUGCCUCUGAGUUCUGUGGGCUACACCAGUAAGUGAUUCAGGCACCUACAGAAGGCUGGGGUGUACACUCUUAUUGGGUAGAGCUUUCAGCUUCGGGAUCUGAUGCCAUCUCUGGUCAGGCUGUGCAGAGUUGGAUAGAAUCAGGGAACCCAGCCGGCUUGUGCUGGAGACACGCUUGGUGUGUGUGUAUGUGUGUGUGUGGGGGGGGUGUUGUCAUAGCUCUGUCUCAUGUUGAGAGUAUAGGAAGGCUACAGUUCUUUUUCCAGUGUGUCCUCCUAGCUGGAAAUAGAGCCUUCAAGGGGGGGGGGGCUUUGUUAACUCUAGCAUAACCCCAACAUUUCUAUAAACCCAAACAAUUCUAAAAAGCAGAUUUUUUUUUCCAAAGACUGUUUUUGUUGGUCCCCAGGUUGUCUUCACUGAGCCACGCCCUCUUGUAAGCCACACACUUUACUCCCCACCUCUCCUUCCCCUUGCUCCUCCUCCACCAGAGAGGGGAGAGGACAACACCUUCAUGUCCAUCCGUCCACCCAACACCUGCUUAUCCUCGCCCUCUCCCCCGGUGCAGGCGUUCAUUUGUCCAAUACUUCAUUUGUUCCUGUGUGGCUUUCACUUCACUGAUACCUCAGUUUACCUAUGCACAAUUGCCUCCAGGAACCCUGGUGAGAUAGAGGAACUCUGGCCUCUGAGCAGGCAGCUUGGAGGCUAUUACCCUGGGCCAGAACACCUGGAUGGAGGUGUGAUAGAAAAAGCCCCUGUCUGUUUCUUGGAGACAAGCAGAAUUGGAGCAGCCCAAAACGCGCCUGGCAUCUCAAGGUCUGGCAAGACAGGGUGGGUGUCACACAGCCCUUCCUACCCUGGGAGGCCAGCCUGUCUGUUACUUGGGAAACCCACAUCCUAGUUCCCUUCCUACCCCUGUCAUUGCCUGGAGAGUGAGGCUCCAAGCCUGAGGGGACUCUUGGGGGACCUGAACUGGGAAAGGCCUGAUGUUUGCCUUUGUCCCACUCUGAAAUUAUUCAAAAUAGUAAGAGUGAGAGGAGCUGCCUUCUACCCCUGACUGAGCCCAGAGGCCACUUGCUCUCCAGCUUUGGCAUCUGGCAGCUGAGCUUAUUCUUAUGGCCGCUCCAGUAGUGGGCAUCAAGACUAACCCUGCCCCACCCAUCCCUGUUCCUUCUGGCAGCAAGACCCUCCCCAUCAGUGGGGCCCAGCUUGCCCUGCAGGCUGCAGCUGCUCUCCCUGGGGGUGUCCAGGGUCUAUAACCUCCCUCCCAGGAUCCAGGGACACUUUAAGAAAGGCACGUCCCUCUACCUCCAUGUUGCCUCAUUCUUUAGAAAUGUGUCUGUCUAUCAUGUGUAGAUACAGCAGGAAGGGUCCUGCAGCAAAUCGGGGAGGUUGGUUAUCAAGUUGCAUGCUGGCCUCACAGUGUUACGGUUUGAAGUGAUGUGUCAUAUGGAAAGUUUACAAGGAGUUGAGCUUGGGAUAUAGUUUAGUGGUUGAGUGCUUGCCUAACAUGCUGGGCCCUAGGUUUGAUCCUCAUUGCUACAUAAACCGGAUGAUGGUGCAUUCCUCUAUUCUAGAACUUCUAGAGGGAGAGCAUCAGGAGCUCAAGGUUGUCCUUGGCUACAUAGGGAGAACCUGAUUGGAUCCAGAACAUUAGGGAGUAACUGAGGUACUCUCCUGGUGUUUCUUUGAAGGCAUUUCUUUUCCCUUUUCUUUUUUUUUUUUUUUUUUUUUGAGAGAGGGUCUUACUAUGCAGCCCCCACUGGCCUAGAACCGACUGGCCUGAGAGCUAGAAUUAAAGGCACUUGUCGUCACUCCUGGCAUGUGAGGGCAUUUCUAAAGAGGAUGGCAAGACUCAUCCUAAAUGUGGCCAGCACCAUUCCCUGAGCUGGGGCCUGGGAUAAAUAAAAAGAGAAAACCAAACAAGCACUGGCAUCCUGCCUUUUCUACUUCUUGGUCUGCAGAGAUGUGAGGUAGCAGCCUUGUCCUGCUGCCACAGCUGCAGGCCACUACUGCCAGGACUGUGUCUCCUUGAACUGUGAGCCACAAUAAGCCCCUCCUCCCUGAAGUUAUUGCUGUGGCAGGCACUCUGUCACAGCAAUGAGGAAAGACUAAUACACAUGCCCACCAAAGUCAUGCGUGCUCCUCUGUUGUGGUGGCCCAAGAUGACCAUAACUCCUCACCCCCACUUAGCCAGUCUUGUGCCUUCUUAUACCCAGGUUCUGUGGAGUAGAGAUCAGGUACCACUGGGCUGGCUCUGGUUGGCAGCAGUGAGUUGGAUAGUCACAGCCCAGAAGCUCUAGGUGUGUUGAAGGUAGCAGGGUAGAAGGGAUAAGGAGCUGAAAGACACAGAGGCUAUCAGCUCUGCCAUACCAGGCUUGAAGGGGCUGCCAGAACCAGGUUUAGGCAAUCAUAGCAGCUGUGGCACUGAAGGCCGGAGUCUUCCUAAGGGGUUACUCUGGGUACUCAGAAGUAGGGAAGAAUGUAUGAGUUGUCUCUACCUCUGGAAGGCCACAGGCAAAAACAAAGUGUAAUCCUGUCUCAGUCAAGGACCUAGUUCACACUAGGGCUUCAUGGUGACUUCAGCUAACCAUUGUUCUGGCUUAAGUCAAUGGGAGAUGAACUUCUGAUGUUUUGUUUCAUUUCACUAUUGACAUGGGGUCUUGGAAUAUAGCCCUGGCCAGGUUGGAAUUCCAUAUGCAGCUCAGGCUGGCUUUGAAUGCGUCAUCUGUGCCUCAGCCUCCCAAGUGCUGGGUUUUACAGGCAUAUACAGCCAGGUUCAGCCAGAUUCUGGUAUUUCAGACACCACGUUCAGGACUGAGGCAGAUAAAAGAGGGAUAGCCAGUCAGGGUGGGUGUUGGGCUGGGAGAACUGAGACCUUCUUGGAAGACUUAUAAGAGGAGCCUUUGCCAGGGCAUGCUGGGAACCCCUGGCCUGUUGUUAUUAUGGCGUCUGUGGGGCCAGUGGUUAGAGUAGCCUAGCCUGUAAAUAUCUGCACCUGGCCAGCUGGUUGUGACAUCUCCAAGACUGAAGAGCUGGCACUGAAGUCUCAGCUGACAGAACCUGUAAGGAGCUUCAGGCCCAGUCCACUGACAGCACUCACGUAAGGCCUGACUCUCUCAAGGCCCAGUUCACCAUCACAGACUGAGGAAGGGUUCUGCUCUGCCUUCCAAUCUCAAAUUGUUCCUCUUUCUCCAAACCUCCCCAAAAGGACCUGCAGCCACUCACCUGGUGCCUUUGCUUUGGAAAAGAGAAAUAGUUAGACUUUGGGGGCAUUUCUGGACCAUUUCUUGGUACUCACUACACCUGGAGACAGAGGCACAUCGAUAUCUAAUGGCUGUAGUAUGGCCUGGCAGGGUCAGGUGACCUAUGGAACUUCAGCUUGGAUCUGACUCUCAGUGGCCAGUGGGUCCUCAAGACCAUCCCGUGGUCAUUUCCCAGCCCCAGGUCCAGCAGCUGGAACAGAAGGCAUAGCUACUCCUAGAGUCUCAUGAAAACCAAGUUUUAUGGUGAGAGAGACCAUUGGAAGUCUCUAGAAACCCUCUCCACUGAGAGCACAUAAACCGAAGCCACCAAAGGGAAGAUUGUAGGGUAGUGAGUCCACCAUCAAAGACGUGAAAUGGGUAACCUCGGGUGGUGGUUAACCUCAGGAUGAUGGGUAACUUCAGCUAUUAUUGGCCGUAGCUGCUGGUCAAAGUAUUGAGAAUGCUGGAACAAGUCAAAACACACCACCAGACCUGGUAGACACCUACUAGGCUGGUGGAAUAUUUCUCCUUCCCUCCAUCCAUCCAUCCAUCCCUUCCUCCCUCCCCCCCCUUUCUCCCUCUUUCUUUCUCUUUUCUCUCUCUUUCUUUGUAGUGUGUAUAUGUAUGUAUGUGUCUGUGUUUCUGUAUGUGUACCUGUGUGUGCACAUGUGGAGGCCAUCUUUUGCCAUUGUGCUCCACCUUACCUAUUUUUAGAUAGGAGCUCGCACUGAAACUGGAGCUCACUGAUUGGCUAGGCUGGCCAGCCAGUGAGCUCCAGGGAUCUUCUUGUUUCCAUCUCUGAUUUCAGGCCCCAACUGCUGGGCCUGGCGUUUUACAUGGAGGCUGAGGAUCAAAUUCAAUUUCUCUAGCUUGUGCAGUGAACAUUUUACCAACUAAGCCAUCUCCCUACCCCAGUGUCCUGGUUUCCUUUUCUAUAGCGCUGAUAGAAUACUGCAACAAAAGUAAGUUAUGGGGAGGCUUAUUUGGCUCUCAGUUCCAGAUUACAGUCCAUUAUUGUGGGGGAAAUCAAAGUGGUGGGAACUUAAAGCAGUUGGUCACAUCAUAUCCACAGAUAAGAGCAGAGAGCAGUGAUAAUGCAUGCGGAGAGCUCAGGAACUCACUAUGUAGCUCAGGCUACAAUUUUCUCCUUCAGCUAAGCCUCCCUUUCCAGAGUUCUCACCUCCAAGAAGAGCACGACCCACUGGGGUCUAAGUGUUCAACACGUGGGCGAGUGGUGGGAUUUCACACAUAACCCACAGCAUUGGCAUGCUGUCUUUCUGCACUGGCUUUGCCAUCUUGCAUUCAGUGAUGUGAUGUCCUGUGGCUCCAGGUCCCCACAGUAUCCGGUUUGUCAGUGUUCCUGACUUUGGCCAUUCUCUUGGGCAGUAAUGUUUGUUUGAAUGGCAGUUGAGAAUCUGUUCAUCUGACACCCACAGGUCUCCUUUGAUGAUGUGUCUACAUCUUUUCCAUGAUUUUUUUUAUUAUUUAAGAGUUCUUUGUACAUUUGUGAUAGGAGUAUCCAAUGCCCUUUUCUGGCCUCCCAUAGGCACCAGGCAUACACGUGGCACACAUAUAUGCGUACAUAUAAAACACUCAUACAUAAAGGUCAAUAAAUCUUUCAAAAGGUUUUUACAAAGGUGUUUUCUCAGUCUGUGGCUUGUCUUUUUACCGCCUUGUCUUCCUCUUCUCUUAAAAAUACUCAUUUGUGUAUAUAUCUGUGUGAGUAUAUACAUACUUGUGUGUUUAUGUAAACACAUUGAUGCAUAGAUGCAGAGACCAGAAGAGGGCAUUAGGUGUCUUUAAAUAUCUCUCUUCACCUAUUCCUUUGAAGCAGGGUCUCUCUCUGAACCUGGGGUUUGUUUUCUCAAUUAGGUUGGAAAGCAAUAAGUCUCAGUGGUCCUCCUGCCUCUGAUCUCCUCAGAGCUGGGGUCACAGGUAUACACAGAAUUCCCAGGUUACCAUGUGGAUGCUGGGAUCUAAACUAUGUUCUUCAUGAUUGCACACAGCAAGUCCUCUUCAUAGCUGAGCCAUCUCUCCAGCUUCCCCACACCCCAGUCUCUUUGAUAAAGGUCUCAUAUAGCCCAGGCUGGCCUUGAAUUCACUAUGUCCCAGAGAAUGACCUUGGAUUUCUCCUAUCACCAUCUUCCAAAUGCUAAGAUCACAGGAGUACAUUCUCACACCUAGUUUUUUUUCUUUCUCCUAGCAGCAUUUCUGCAAAGCAGAUGUGUAGUGUAGAAAUGCCUCCCACAAGCUCAUGUAUUUGAACACCUAGUUCCGACCUAGGGCAUUGUUUUAGGAGGCUGCAGAAAGUUUAGGAGGUAGUUCCACACUACAGGAAGUAGGACACUAUGGGGUAGACAUGGAGGGUUCUAGCAUGGCUUCACUUUCUAACCUGUCUCUGCUUCCUGAUCCACAGAGAUGUGAGCAGGCUGUCUAGUGUCCCUGCUGCUUCAGUUAUGGGAUGCGCCCACUGCCAUGAUGGACUGGGAGCCCAAACGAAUCGGUCCUUCCUGCAGUUGUUUCCAUCAGGUAUAUUGUCACAGUAACAGGUGAGGUGACUGAUACGAUAGGUUUUCAAUUUUAAUAAAGUGUAAUCUCUUCAUUAUUGAUCUGGGGAGUGUGCCUGCUCUUUUCAGCAAGCAAGGAACACACAAUUCUUAGGUGUUCCCACCUAAUGCUUGGGAAUACCUUGUCACCCUUCAGGUUUUGAGUAUGCCUGGGAUCUUGAUCGACUUCUCUUCCUGUGGGCAUCAUGGUGCUUUGAUGCUCCAUUGACACAGCUGUGCUUACUGGGCUGUCUGAGCAGGAAGCUGUAGGCAUCUGUCCUAGUUCUAUUUAUGUGCCUGUGAUUGAGUAGCCUGACAAAAGCAGGGAGGACAGGGGUUAUUUCAGCUGACAAUUUAAGGUUACAGUCCAUGAUUGUGUGGAAGUCAAGGCAAGAACUUCAACAACGAGUCGUAUCACACAGCCAAGAGCAGAGAAAAAUGAAUGCAUGCAUACUUGCUUGCUUGCACUCAGCUGUAUGUCUCUAUUACUCUAUAGUUCAGAAGCCCCUAUUAUAAGGAAUUGUUCUGCCCAUGGUGGGCUGGGUGUUCCACACUUUACUUAAUUAAGACAGUCUCCUACAGAUAUGCCCACAAGUGAAUCCAAAGUAAUGGAAUCCCUCACUGAGCCUCUCUUCCCAGAUGACAACUCCAGGCUGUGUCAAAAGCUUUGACAUUUAAAGCUUACCUUCAUGAUAUCUAAAGGCAACUUGACCACGUGGUGUGUUUGAAGGUCAGGUGAUCAAAUCCCACAUGAUUUUGGGGAGGUUUCUGUCUUGAUGAUAUUGCUAGUGUGCAAUAGACUGGGUCAAGUGGAGACCUACACAUGGCCCUUCCUAAUGUCUAAGAUACAGCAGAGUGGCUCUCUUUGGAUUUUGCAGUCAGCAGAUUUAUGAUACCAAGUGACCCAUAGAGGUGUCACUUUUCAGUGAGGCCCAGACAAGAGGAGGCUCUGCAACAGGCCCAGGCUAUGGUGCAAACUUCUUCGCUGCAUGCAGCAGAUCCACGAUGUGCAAGGUGCUUGUGGGAGGUAGGAAGUUCUGUGGGGGCUGUUCGGGCUCCUGCAGGGACUUCACAGUCCACCACGCUUGGGUCUGUGGAGCUGAGCUCUGCCAUCCUCUGUGGAUACUUCUUCAGAUCUUGGCUUGCCUCCAGGCUCCAUAGGGCAUGUGGCCAUGUGACACCAACUGACCACAUGACCUGAACUGUCCAUUAUAAAGGAGCCAUUGAGUGACCCAUGAUGUGGUGGGGGUGGGGAAACGUGUAUGGACUGAUAACUAACAGCUCUAUGUUAGUUACUCUACUCAUUCAUUGGACAAAAUAUUUGACAAAGCAACUUAAGGAAGGAAGGGUUGUUGUGGGUCACUGAAGGUGUAGUCCAUCAAGAUGAGGAAGAUAUUGUGGCGGGAGCAUGGGACAGCUAGCACCACUGUAUUCAUAAUUAGGAAACAGAGCAAGAUGGACUCUGGUGCUCAGCUUGCUUGCUUUUUAUUCAUUUGGAUACUCCAGCCCAAUGGAUGGUUCUGCCCAUAUUUAGAGUGAGUCAAUUAACUUAAUCUAGACAAUCCUUUACAGACAUACCCUAGAUAGGGGUUGUUUCCAUGGUGAUUCUAAAUUCCAUUGGAUUGGUGAUCAAGAAUGAUCAUUGCAUACGUCAAAGCUCCAGCAAAUUUUGUGAAGAGCUCCCAUGAUGCGUGUAGCUUCUUCCUGUUUCCUUCCUACUUCCUCCUGACAGCACCUGUACUUCUUGUGUAAUUUCCCAUUACCUGGUCACUGAGAAAGAAAAAAGUCUUGGCUCAUCUUCAAAUAGCUUUCCAUGACAUGUCAGCGUAAUCCCAAAGUGGGUGACCUGCAGCCUCCUGUGAGAAAUGGAAGGAAGGAAACACCCAAGUAGGCAGGUCUUGGAACGGUCACCCUGACUGCUGUACUUGACCUGGAAGGAGAGAUCAGGGUUACAGGCUCUACCAUUUGGUGGCAAAUAGGUCAUGAUGGUCAGAGAAUUGGAAGAAAAAAAAAGCAUUUGAAAAGAAAAAGUGGUAACAGGAGGUUAGAGGAAGGGGUUAUACCUCUCCUACUGUGCGUAGCACACGGUGUGGAGAGACUUAUGUCCUAUAUGGAUGUUGGCCACAGAAAUAAACCCCUGGGCUGAAGGGAACUCCAUGGUAGAUGAGAUGACCUCAUCAGUGGCCACCAGCCAGCCUUUAUCCUAGGCAUCCCUGUCAUUGCCAAAAGGGUUUGAGAAGGGUAUGCCCUGGAGAUCAUAUGUGGACAGUACUUGGGUGUCCAUUCAUUAAGGUUCAUCUGCUCAGUUUCCUGCUUGGCACUCACUGCUAGAUGAUGUUGGAGUACCAUCAUCAUGAGAGAGAUCCCUCUGCUGUCACUGACACCGAAGCAUACUUGAAUGUGAGCUGGCCUUCCUGAUCCAGGAGGGUCCUGGACUUCAUAGUAUGCCUGACUCCCUGCUGUGUAUCUCAUGGUUUCCUCCUCAUACAGGCAGGGGCAUAAGGCAGAGAGUUCAAGCUCAGAGAAUCACUAUCCUUAAUACUCUCUGUCACUCUGGCCCAAGGAAAGAAGACUGGCUCAUUUUCUGCACUCUGAGGAACUGGAACAAUGUCCUCUGAACCCAUCUAUGCAGCUGUGUUCCCGUAGCCACUGCUCAUAGUCCUGGGAACACAGAUGUUAACACAUCAAUGGUUUCUUGUCCACUAGAAAUCCACCAGUGACUGGCAGAUUGAACCCAGGGCUUUUUGCACACCUCAGGUAAGCACCCUACCCUCCAAGUUCUAUCCCGUUCCUCUGCCAGUAACAUUUAUCUUCCUGAUUCCACUACUCUACAAUCUCUUGGUCAAGACAUCCACCACAAGUACUACACUGACUCUCCCAGUACCCUGGAGGUUGAGGUGACCACCAGUCCAUUUUGAGAGAAUCACCAGGCUGCAAAGUGGCUGCAGGUUGGUACAACUGCCCUGGCUAGGAGAAACAGGCCAUGGUUUCACAACAGAAUGUCUAGAACGUAGAUGAUGCCCUGCAGCUCUGGUUGAUGAUUAACAUCAGUGGAAAGACUCUACUGCCCAAUCCAGGCAGGACUGCCGAGGGCCCAGACCCUUCGGGAAUGAAGGCUUAGGUCAUCCAUCAGGUAAAGGGCCACAAUCAGCUGAAGCACUCACUGGAGCACAGAGACGUGCAGGAAGAUGGUUAUAAAUACCAGCCGGGCCAUGUGACCGGCUGCAGCCCUGAGCCUGUGAGGGUUACGGAAUCCUUCCUUACGCUGUGAGCAAAUAUGACUGAUUCUUCCUUCCCCUUGUCCAGACCCUGCACCUAGUAUUUAUGAGUUCCUCACUGCUAAGUCUCUCUCUCAGGAUUUGCUGUUCCUGGCUGCAGCUCGGCUACAAGGGGAUUGGAUACCCCAGGAGCACUGGACGCAGGACCUCCCCUGUCUGUGGGCAUCUGUCUGGCCGUGCAGUCCCAGCUGCCUGUUAGGUGAAAGUGGAACUUUACUUUGUUUCAAUAAGAGGUCUCACCAAAGGGUUUCAUUUCUGUGAGAAGCUCAAAACAGAUCCUUAGAGACAGAAAGCGGCUUCCUGGUGCUGGGGAAGAAAUAAAGGGAAGAGUGGGUGCUACCAGUGGCAGGGAGGUGGGGUCCAGUGUGGUAGGCACGCUCUAACAUCAGGUAGCAGUGAUGGUCUGGUGGGGUGACUGAAAACCACAGAACUGUGUGUUUGCUGAGAGUGAAUCAGAACCUGUGUUAAUCAGACGCAAUGAACUUGCUUUUGUUUUCAAAAAGAAGUUGUCUGUGGAUGCCACGAUUUCACCUUCACUGCACUGAAGGUGGCAGCCAUGGGUGUAGAGCUGAAGAGCAACUGUCUUCUUUACGCCUCACGUAUGACUCUGCCUGCCUAGAGCUUCUCCCUGAAGUCUUGGCUUCUGGCCUCUUCCACACUUACUCAUCCAUCCUCCCACUCCCCUCACCUAAUGUAUCCACGGAACAGGUAGUAUGACCAUCUUACGCUGGCACUGGCGGCCAGCAUGGUGACCUUGCCCAGACUCUAUUUCCAUUCCCCAAUUAGUGCUGUAGAUUCUACCUUUAAACGGGGGAGGAAAAGCCAGAACCAAACAAAUACUAAAGACGGUGUUGGGGUGUGUGUGGGUGUGGGUGUGGGUGUGGGUGAGCUACAUACAUGUGUAUGUGCAUGUACAUUCGUGCAGGCAUUUGGAGAUGACAUGUAUGCUCUUAUACAUAUGUGCAUGUUUUCUUGUGUAUGUCCCCAGGCACAUGUAUAUUUAUAUAUCUGUGUGAAAACCUGUCUGCAUGUGUGUGUCUGGGUAUGUGUGUAUAUUAUGAUACGUACACGUGUCUUUUUCAUGUGUGCGUGUGGGGGGGAAGGCAGGGCCCAUGUGUGUAUGUACUAAACUGUCCUUGUCUUGCGCUGUGUCGCGCAUGGUGUGCGCACAUGGAUGCGGUGAUGCAUGGCCAGAGGCAGUGAUAGGGGCCAGCAGGUGGAGGAAGCCUCACCACCCACAUGGCCCCACCAGCAGCUUUGUAGUCACGUUAGCUCCUGCACCACAGGAGUCUGCAGCAGGACAAACUGGAAACUCCAAAUGUCACCUGGCAGAGGAUCCGGGUAGAAUAAGUGACAUAUCCCACAAGCCAGCCCCCUGGCCAUGCUUCCUCUAGACUCCUCUAAUCCUGGAAUCAGCACCUGGGCAGAUAAGGCCUCUGCAGGUUCAUUUGUUUUAGUCCACAAAAUAAAACUGAGGCUAGACCGAAUGGCAGGGAGAAAAUGACGACGCACUUAUUAAGAUGCAGAAGCACGAGGGUCGCGAACAUACAAUGGAGUCGCGUACAUACAGUGGAGACGUAGAGGCUACAGACUACAGUUCUCGGCCUCCAGGUUGCAGCCCCUUUGGAGAUUGCCUAUCAGAUACCCCGAACAUUAGAUAUUUAUGUUGUAACCUCUAACUGCAAGAAAAUAAGUUUCUGGUUGGGAGUCACUGCAACGUGCGAAAGUGCGUUAAAGCGUCACCGCACUAGGGAGGCUGAGAGCCACCAGCGCAGACAGAUCACGUUAGUCUGCUUUCUGAUGCUGUAACAAGAUACCCAGGGCUGGUGUUUUAUAAUAGAAACGGGCUUAUUUAGAUUAUUUAGACUGUCUCGCUAGUAUAGACAUGAGGCUUUUGGCUUUUUUUCAGCUGCCGUUUCACGUCUUUCUCUUGCUCCUUCAAUGAUCUAAUCAGCUCCGGUGGAUUUAAAUGUCACAGAAUGCCAAGGGCUCUCCGGUUUCCCCACUGGAAUUUCAGUGGCUACUUCCUAUUUUCUCACAGUCAACUCCCGGAAGUCCAGUGUGUACUGGCUGUGUCACAUCUUCUGAAUGCAGAAGAGCACCCACAGCAGGACUUGGGGCACGCUCCCAUUCUUCACAGCCACAUACAGGAGCCCCGAGUUCGAGCCUAGCAUCAAUGCUUCUGAGGCGGGUGCCUCCAGUGAGAGAACCCUUUGCAAGGUUUCACUACCUCAGCCCUGCCACUCUGGGGACUGAACUUGCAGACCACAAACAUAUGGGGACUCACUCAGAUCACCUCCAAACCGUAGCUCACAGGAAGCAGGCUCAGGAACCUGGAGAUGGGUCAUGUCCCAUUAAGGGGUGAGUCAUAUACAAAUGAGCCCCUGGGUAAUAGUCACUUGUGUUGACCUCAGUCUAGGACAAGUAUCAAACCCUGUCUUGGCCAUUUUUCCUUACUACAUCCAAACUUCUGAAGGCGGGGAGAGAGUGAAGAAAAGAGAUUUGUAUAGGUUCAGGGGCAUGACAGUUGCAUCAGCUUGGCUUCGGCGACAACGUUGUGAUGAUGGCAUAUGUCUUAAGUGUAUGUCUGUGGGUGCAUACAGAGGUUGGAGGUCAGCCCCUGCUAUCUUUUCCCAGGAACCAGUCACCUUGUGUUUGGAGACAGGGUAUCUCACUGCAACCCAGAAGUUGAAGAUAAGACCAGAUUGUCUGGUCAGUGAGCCCUAGGGCUCCACCUGUCUCCCCGGCACGAAAAUUACAAGACAGACGCUGUGCCUGGUUUUCUCUGUGAGCAUCAGAUAGAGAACUCAGGUCUUUACGCUUGUGGGGCAAGUGCUUUACCUGAUCUAGCUCAUUUUGGUUUUGGCUUUUGUUGUUUGGUUGUUGUUGUUUUUGCUUUGUUUUUUUGUUUGUUUGUUUGUUUGUUUUGGUUGUUGUUUUGCAAUAAUCUUCUUUGAGGAAGGUCGGGGUCCUUGGGGAAUUAUUUAAUCCCUCUCAAGAACAUUGUUCCCAGAGACCCAGUCGCCCUAGCUUGGACUCUCAAAGGGCCCAGGACCUCUGACAGAGCCAAGCUGAAGUCAAAACCUCUAACACAGAAACUUUUGAGGGAGUUCAAGCUACACUUAAGCCAUAGAACCCCAAUUCCCCCCUUCUAUGAAAGGCUCUGAUUGGGGAUCAAGGAGUCAGCCGAGCUGCUGAAGGGCAAGGCUCAUUUGACCUCAGGGCUUGAGACAUCUGGGGACUCUCCCUUUGUUAUGAUCUGUGUUGUAGCUUUGUGGUGACACAGUUUUCGUCUGGGGAUCAAUGUUCUGCCAGUGUAUCAAAGUCCUCUGCUGGGGCUGCACUGUUACUGUCUCUCUUUCCUUCCUCUCUUCUCUCCCCUUCCCAUUCCUUGCUUCCUCUCUUCACUCCUUACCUGUCUUUGUCCCUCCUCUUUUCUCCCUUCCCUCUCCACUCUUUGCCAAUCUCCUUCCUCCCCCAUCUGUUUGUCUCUUUCCCUCCUCUCUUCCUCUCCCUUCUUUCUUUCUGCUCUGGUUUCUCCUUUUCUCGUUCUUCCUCUCCCUUCUUGUCUCUGCUUUCCUCUCCUUUUCUUUCCCCUCUUCCUGCUAACUCUUCACCCUUCCUCCUGUCCCUCCCCUCUUCCCUUUUCCUCCCCUCUUCCAGUUCUUCCUCUUCCCUUUCCCCCCAGGGAUCUUCCACUUCAGGAACCCUCCGCUCAAGGGAGCCUCUCAGGUCCCUGGUUGCUUCGGGCCUCACUGGCUUCCUGCUGCCGAUGCCGGGAGGCUGUUGCUCCACCUGGGUGACAUCACAUCCUGUUUUCAGGUCCUGGAAGUGGACAGGCACAUGUGGUCUGCUCCGUUAGUCCCUCUCCAAAAAGGAAGCACUGGCAAGACUGACUGAGUACUGGAUAAAAGUUGUAGCUGGGAGGUUUCUGCAGUGUGGUGGUACAUUUUCGCUUGAAGUCCACCCACCACGGGGAAGCUAAAGCCACAUAACAACAGCCCCAUUACAACCGCCUUUUCAUCCACUUGGGCCAACUUCAUCAUUAUGGUAUUGCUAAGUCACGGCUUUCUAAUCCCACCCCUCCCUGUGCAUUUAUUAUUUGACAUUCUGAUUCAAAACAAACAAAAAACGAACCACCCCCAGUCUUUUCUUCUCCACAACAAAGUAAGUAAUAAACUACCCUUACAAUGGACCCACUGCCGACUUUUGCAAUCUGUCACCAUCUUUUACCCUGCUGCUAAUGACAAUGGGUGUCACCAGUGCGGCCAACAGGUGCUGUCCCUUGAAGCUCGUUCUUUGUCACAUUGACAAAUGCAUGGCACCUUACUGAGUUACUUUCUGACAUGAGAUAGUCAUCUCAGGUGUUUCUUGCCUGGUGGUGGAAUUGUCAUCACUCUAAGAAACUUUUCCUUUUAUCAGAAAAUGGUCCUUUUAGGGGAUAGUGAGAUGGUUCAGCAUAUCAAGGGGACUACCACUAGUCCUGGUGACCUGAGAUCAACCCCUGGAAGCCACAAGUGGAAAAAGAGAAGUGAAUCCUGAAAAUUGUCCUCUGAUUUCUACACACGCACAUACCAGAAAAAAAACAUUUUUAAAGGUAAUAUUUGGGUUUUAAGGUGUAAUGUUGGACAACAAAAGCCUAGGCUUUCCCACUGAGGACUGCUAAACUGUCUCCAUCAUCAUGUACAUGUUUGCAUCUGUCUCCAGCUAAAUGCUGGCUGAGCCUAAGAUUAAAAAAAAAAAAAAAAAAGGCAAGUUAAUUCUGAGUUCUCGAUUCUGGCCCCUUCCCUGAUGAGUGUCCCAAACCCUACCCUGCCAUGCUGGUCAUUUGUCUCUGUGACAAGACAUGGGACUCCCCUCAUCCCUAACGUGCCAAGCCAGGUCCCUAUUCUUGUGACAGUCUUCUGACCAUGCUGUGGGUACUUGUCCCUGACCAUAUCCUGGGUUCCAGCAGACUCUAGCUUCUUCUCAGCCUUGAGCCCCAGCCCUGUUCCCUGUGUCCACAGUUCUCCAGCCUUUAGUCAGCUUCUAAGAAAAGAAAGAGAAAGGGAGAAAAGCAAUGAGUGUGUGAGUGUGUUGUAACUAAAGGAAGAAAAAAUGUGAGAGAUGAUGAACCCCAGCUCCCAAACCCUAGCCAGGAAGACCUGGGUCCUGGUUUGUUUCUUAUACUUGACCAGACAGAGUGUUCCAAGUUCACCAGGGACCUGAGCGCCUAGCUCCCUGACUAAGAAAGGGAGCAGUGUCUGACCCACACACUAUGAGGUAGGAGCAUUGACAGGGAUGGGGCCGUGAGGUAGUCCCAGUGGAGUCUCAGUGGGGAAGGCCAGCAACAGCGGGCAAAGCAGCAUUAAGAUGGCCAUGAAAGAAGCCAAGGGGAUCUGGUUGUAGAGAAGAUGGCCAAACUGACAAACUGAUGAGUUGGACAGACAGUGCGGGUACGGUGAAGGCAUGUGUGAGGAGGAGGCAUCAGAUGGCGUUAUUCUAGAGCAGUAGUUCUCAACCUUCCUAAUGCCAGGACCCUUUCAUACAGUUCCGCAUGUUGCUAUCCAACCAUAGAAUGAUUUUGUUGCUACUUCAUAACUACAAUUUUGCUGCUGUUAGGAGUCGUAAUGUAAAUACCUGAUAUACAACCCACAGGUUGAGAACACAGUUCUAGAAAGCUCAGGGGGAAUAUAGGAUGGAAGCUGGCACUGGGACGUGAGAGAGAAAGGCAGGCCGGGUGUGGGAGCUCACAGAAGGAAAGGGAGACUGGCAGGAAGGAGAGGCCUAGAGAAAUCAGAGACCUAGAAUUCAGGCAGCUCAGGAAAGUACCCUCGGGAGGACAAGAGAGGACACACGUUAGGGUUCUACAGUGUCACAGUUCUAAACUGGUCCGAGCACAUAGACCCUACGUCUUGAGAAUAAUGCCGUGAGCCAGUGAGGAGGCUCAGCGGGUAAAGGUGCUUGUUGCUGAACAUAUCAACCUGAGCUUGAUCCCUGGGACCCCUAUGAUGGGAGGAGAGAACCAACUCUUGCAAGCUGUCCUCUAAUCUCCACAUGGGUGUCAUGGCGUCCGUCCACCUCUCUCCAUACACAAUGCUAGAUGUGAGAACUCACACUCACACGAUGCUAGAUGUGAGAAAAGUAAGUUCUAUAGCGCUGAAGAGAAAUGGCUUUGGACAUGUGUGUGUGUGUGUGUGUGUGUGUGUGUGUGUGUGUGUAGUAAGAGGUGCAUGCCUGCUGCGACACUGUGUGUGUGUAUCUGCAUUUGUGAAGGCCAGAAGUCCAUGGGUUUUUCUUUGAUGGUUUUCCUCUUCAUUGAUUUGAAAUGAGGUCUCUCACUGAACUUGGAAUUCACCAUCAGGCUAGGCUGCUGGCCAGUAAGCCCCAAGGAUCCUCCUGUUUUGGCCUCCCCGGAACUGGGAUUGCAGGUGUACACCACCAUACCUGGCUUGUACGUGGGUGCUGGGCAUAGAACUCAGCUCCUCGUGCUUGUGCAAGCAUUUUACUUUCUAGGCAACCUCCCCAGCCCAGACAUGGGGUUUUAUAGGCUGUAACUAUGAUUUAAAUGCAGGUAGGGUAAACCUAAGUUCAGGCACACUUGGCUAAGGUGUGCUACACAUACGUGCUUCAGAAAGAGCCACUUUACCAACCCUUUGAAAGAUGUACUCAAACAACCGGAGAAGGAAGUCCUGGAGGGUGAUGGAGACCUCAAAGGAGGAAACCUGGGGAAGAUGCCAUUCACAGUACAAUGAGCCUGGAAGUUUCUAGAAAUCAAGUUCUUCUUUUUUCUUUAAAAAAGUGUUUACUGUAUUUUAUGCUAAUGAGUGUUUUGUCUGUACACCAUGUAUGUGCAGUGCCCUUGGAGGCCAGAAGAGGGGUUCGAGCCCCUGGAACUGGAAUUACAGACGGCGGUGAGCUACCAGUUAAGUGCUGGGAACCAAACUCUGGUCCUCUGGAAGAGCAGCCAGUGCUCCUAUGCUGGGCGGUCUCUCUAGCCCCAGUCAAGUUCAUUUUUAAAUGUCAAACCGAUUUUGCAUUUCAGGGACAAACCUCACUGUGUAGGUUGGUUUGGAUUGGCUAAGUUUUCUUUUAGAAUUCUUACAUCCACAUCCAUGAGGAACAAAAGACUGUGGUUCAUCUGGGUUUGGCAUGUGAGCAAUGCUGGCUUUAUAGAGGAAGCUUGGAAGGUUGCGUCCUUUUCAAGGUUUUCUGGAUAAGUUUUUUAUAGAUUGGUUUUAUUAGUGGAAUGCAUUGAUGUGGCCACACAGACCAGGAGGUUCUUUGUUUUUGUCUUUGUUUUUUGUUUGUUUGUUUUUCCCCAAAGGUUUUACCUUUGUAAAACUGUCCUACUUUGCUUUCUGUUGCUGUGAUAAGCAGCAUGACCAAAAGCAACUUGGGGAGGAAAGGGCUUAUUUCAUUUAACAGUUUAUAGUCCAUCAUGGAGAGAAGUCAGGUCAGAAUUCAAGGUAGGAAACUGGAAGCAGGGACUGGAGUAGAGGUCAGGGAGGAACGCUGCUUACUGGCUCGCUCCUUAUGGUUCACUCAACCUGCUUUCUUUUCUUUUUCUUUCCUUUUUUUAAAGUUAGAUGGUGGAUAUAUUGUUUUAUUUUGUGGAUACAUGGGAAUUUUCACAAGAAAAAAAUAGAAAAGAAACACAGAGAGAGGAGCUGAGCAUACUUACUUUUAGCCAAAUAGGAUGGGAGGAUGAUGGUUAAAAGAGCCACACUCUUGUCUUCUUUAUUUUUUAAUUGAUUAAUUUAUUUAUUCAGUUUGCAUCCUGAUAAUAGUCCCUCCCCCUCCUCUAUUCCUCAGAAAUGGGGAUUUCUCUCCCUACCCCCACUAACCCACCCCAGCUCAUCAAGUCAAAUCAGGACUGAGCUCAUCUUCUUCCCCACACUCUGUAUUCUUGAUGUAUACAGGACAAUAUAUUUUCUAUAUAGUGUCCUUUUCUUAGAGCCUCUUUAUAAAGACUGUGCCGUUGUUUCACUUGACCUUGAAAUUCUUGUCUUAGUUGAUUGUCCCAAGCAAAGACUUGGGUUUUAAACAAAGACAUUAUGUAAGCAAAGUCUUGUGGUUUGAACGUGGAAUGUCCCCCAUAGGCUCACAUGUUUUGAAUAUUUGGAGAUCCCAGCUGGUGGUGUUAAUUGGGGAGGGUAUAAAAUCUUCAGGAGUGGAAGCCUUGCUGGAACCAGUGGAUCACUGGAGAUGGACCUUGGGGCUUUAUACCCAAACUUCACUUCCUAUUUACUUUACUUUCUGCUGUGGAUGCAGUAUUACCUACUAACCAACCUCCUGCUCCUGAACCAUUGCCAUUCCUGCCUGCUUUCGUGUCUUCCCUAGCAUGAUGAACCUUGAACUGUGGACCCAAAUACUUUUUCUUUGAGUUGAAUUUAUCAAGGUAUUUUAUUAUAUGGUAACAGAAAACUUAACUAAGACUAGAUAUCUGUUAUUUGGUGCUGUUAGCAUCUGCGACUAGAUAACUUUUGGUGCCAUUGAUCUUUUUGAAGAGUUAUCCUUUAACCUGCUUUUCUAUACAGCACAAACACAAGGAAUCUAUCUGACUCAGCUAAGUUGAUUCAUUAGUGGGAAAAAGUUAGAUGUGUCAAACUUUUUAUUUAUUAUCCAUAGGCUCUGAUGUUCAGUUGUCAUUCAUCCCUGCUGUUGAUAGCUCAUGAGUUUUCUUUUUCUUUCUUUUUUUUCUUGCUCUGUCUGGCUUUUGUCGAUUUAAUCUGCCUUCUCAAAGACAGUGUUUGGUUUCUUAUUUCUCUCUGUUAUAUGGUUCUUCUCUGACCUUGUAUCUCUAGUUUGUUCACUCUUAUUGGAUUAUUGAACUUAAUUUGCCUCUUUUGUCUUUGUAAGUUCCUUUAGGAAACCGUGAUCUUUGACUUGGAAUCUUUAUUCUGUUCUAACACAUUGUUGAGUGUUUUAAUUUUUUUUUAAAGACAAGCAGUAUAUUUUUAUUAUUUAAACAUUUUAAUUUAAAUAUAUUUUUAUCAUACAUACAUACACACACAUAGCAGAGGUUGGACUGAAAGUGAGGGUAAGGCUAUAAACCCUCAAAACCUACCCUUAAUAACAUACUUCCCCUAGAAAAGCCACACCUCCUAAACCUCUCCAAACAGUGCUACCAACUAGGGACCAAGUGAAUUUUGGGGGGCACAUUUCUCUUUCAAACCACCACAAAUGUGGUGAAAUUUUGUCAACUUAGGUGUUUAGCUCAGGGAAAAUAUCUACCAAAAGCAUACGUUGAAGGAGGAUGUUUCUCACUCAAACAGCAAAUUCACUCCUUGAAGAUCCAUGCCAAGUCUUUCAAAUGUGAGGAAAAUGAAGAACAAUCAAAGGAUGGCAAUGUGGAUCAACACCUAAGUUGACAAAUUUUCCCCAGUAUUUUGGAGAGAUUCUACUGUCUUCUCUUUGCAAUAAGAAAAAAAAAUCUGUGUUAUCCUUUAAAUUUCUGUGACUUUUACUUUUUAAUAACACACACACACACACACACACACACACAAAGCUGAAGAGCUGGCUCAGCAGUUAAUAGCAAGUGCUGCUUUGUAGAGUACCUGAGUGUGGUUCUCAUCACUCCUGUCAGGCAGCUCACAACCGUCUGCAACUCCAGUUCCAAAGGAGUCUGACAUCCUCAUCUGGCCUCCAAAGCCCCCUACUCUCAUGUGCACAUAGCUCACACAUAAUUUAAAACAAAACACACAAUGUGUAAUGUACCAUCUCCGUUAGCUGCUUUUCUCACUACUGCGAUGAAGUACCCCACAGAAGCAACUUAAGGGUAGAAGGGUUUUGCUAGGUAGCAGCUCAGGGAAUGCAGUCUAUCAUAGUAUCAAGGAAUAAUGGCAGCAGUGGCUGUCAGCUAAUUCAGUGGGUAUGAUGGGGCUGGUUGCAUUUCCUCUAUAAUUAGCAAACAGAAAGAAAGAAGGACUGUGUUAUAAAUCUCAAGACCUGCCUCCCAGAAACCUAAUUCCUCCAGCUAGUUCCUGUAUCACAAAGGUUCUGCAGCCUCCCUAAACAAUGCCAACAGCUGGGGACCAAGUAUUCCCCUACAGGAGUCUAUGGAGGGACAUUUCACCUUUAAGCCAUAGCAUUUUACCUUUGGCCUCUAAGACUUAUUCAUGGCCAUCUCACAACAUGAUUAAGUUUCUAAGUCUCUACAGUUUUACUGUCCAAAGUCUAACAUCUCCUCUGACACUCAAGACAAUCUCUAACUGGGAAGCCCUGUAAAAUAAAAUUAAAAAAAAAAAAAGCUACAUACUAUUAGAAAUAAUAUCUUAACUCUAUAUGGUGCAGACAGGCAGAAGACACCCAGAGGCCUGCCAGCACAUCUGGAGACCUGCCUGCCUCGAUGCCACAACAAUGUGGGUGAGUGGAAGAAACAAUUAACAGAAAACAACGUACUCUUAACAUUACCUGCUACUUGGCUACCUCUGCCCCCCAACUGUGCUUACAAGGUCUUGUAUCUGAUAAGCUUUAAAAUAAACAUGAUGUGUGUUGUUUUAAAUACAAAAUCCCCAAUGUUCGAUUUUUACCAGUAAAGACUCAGGAGCCAGAUGCAGGGAUGAAAGCCUACCAGCUCAGAGAGGCAGAGAAAGCACCCAGUUGACCUUCCCUCUCAGCCAACAUCCCAGCAAGAAAAAGCUCCUUUUUCUUCUCCACAAUGUCUUUGCCCCUUCUUUCUGUUUCCUGUGCAUAUAUCUGUCCUCCAGACUUCCUCUCACUGUUUUUUUCUACCAAGUUCACUUCCUGUCAACUGGUUGCUUGCUCCACCUCUUGACCUAGGGCUAACUAUUCAAUCCUGUUUACAGAAACUUCUUGGAUUAAAGGUGUGUGCUAGGGCUGAGGCACACCACAACUAGAAACAAAUUUUUCUUGUAAACAUCACAAUUUCAGGGUUCACAGGGUGAUCAAAUAUCCUGUAACAGAUGCAGAACAAAGACUAAGCCUGUGUGUGGUUUUUGUUGAGAAAAAGACAAAUGUAAAUAUCAGGAGAAAAGAUAAGCUUUGGAUAACACAUCCUGAUCAUUCAAAACACGGGGUUAAAGGGUCAUGUGUGCCUGGCAUUCUGGGCUGACGUCCAGCUUUGCAGUGUUGCAAAAUAAACUGCUUCAGCUUAAA